rnacentral:miRNA from 1 species
UCCGCCGAGGCAGGGCUUGAUACUCAAAAAGAAAUUGUCCUUGUAUGAUUCAUCACAAAAGACGCGAGCACACCAAGGAUAAUUUCUCCUCAAGUAUGAAACAGGAGCACGGACAGGA